CCAGCAGGCUCCAACCCACUGCUCAGACAUCUGUACAAGGCUUGUCACCACUCCACUUUUACUACCCUUUGCUCCUCAGGCUCUGUUUCUGCAUGUUCUUUUACUGCUGUUUGAAAGCCCAUCUCUCAUCCCUUCUUUCCUUUACUAACUAUUCAUCCUUCAAGAUCCUGUUCAAAUGUGAAGUCUUCCCCAACUGUGGGCAGAGUCAGUUGCUCUCUCAUGUGUGCUCCCAGAUCACACACAGUAUCUUACUUUAUGUAUCUGUACUCCCAACUAGAUAGCUCUUUCAAGGCAGGGACUGUGUCUUUUUUUUGUUUUUAAACUCUCUACGCCCAGUUCCUAGCACUGACUAGGUGCCUAGUAACAUGUGCUGAAUGAAUGAGUGAAUUUUACCACACCUUUGCCCUAAUGCUGCUGCUUCCCUAGAUUUCUCUAAGAAAACGAUUCUCUCCCAAAACUGGGGGGUGGAGAGUGGGAUGGGGCCAGGCAGAGUGUUUAUUUCCAAAGGUGAGGCUCCACCUGAAGAAGAACAUCUCUAGAAGGAGACACAGAGGGCAACACAAGCUCUGAUUUAGAAUAAAUGACUAUGUUAAUGAUUAAAGGAGGAAGCUCUCUCCAACACAGCUGGGUAAAAAUGGAGCAAGUAGCUUUGUAAGGUGAUUAGCAGUCACUCUGAGCAUCCCAGUGGAGGCUGAAUGAUCACCUAUCUAGGAUGCUAUGGAAGGGGUUUCUGUUUUAGUAAGAUUACAAUAAUUGAUAAGCAUUAAAGACAGGAACAAGGCAGUUAUCAUUGCUAAUAUUUAUUGUCUUAGAGAUCUAGCUAUGCAGUAAGGCCAGAAAAAAAUUUAAGGGUAUAAAUAUGGGAAAGGAGCCCAGGUGCGGUGGCUCACGCCUGUAAUCCCAACACUGUGGGAGGCUGAGGCAGGCAGAUUACUUGAGGCCAGGAGUUCGAGACCAGCCUGGCCAACAUGGCGAAAACCCAUCUCUACAAAAAAUACAAAGUAGUUGGGCAUGGUGGCGGGCACCUGUAGUCCCAGCUACUCAGAAGGCUGAGGUGGGAGGAUUGCUUGAGCCUGGGAGGUCAAGGCUGCAGUGAGCCACAAUCAUGCCACUGCACUCCAGCCUGGGCAACAGAGUGAGACCUUGUCUCAAAAAAAAAAAAAAAAAAGUAAAUAAAUAAAUACAUAUGAGAAAGGAGGAAACCAAACUGUUAUUAACAGCUAUUUGUAUUUUUAGAAACUCUUAAGAGAAGCUGGUGAAAAACUAUCAGAAAUAAUUUUAGUUAAUCAAGAAUCAACAUAAAAGAUCAUUAGCCGUCUUUUUAAUCAGCAACAACCAAUUAGAAAAUUUAACGGAGGCCAGGCACAGUGGCUCACAUAUGUAAUACCAACAUUUUGGGAGGCUGAGGCAGGAGGAUUGCUUGAACCCUGGAGUUCAAGACCAGCCCGGGCAAGAUGGUGAGCCCUGGUCUUUACAAAAAAAUUAAUUUAAAAAAUUAGCCAGGUGUGGUGGUGCAUGCCUGUAGUCCCAGCUACUCGGGAUGCUGAGGCAGGAGAAUCCCUUGAGCCCAGGAGUUCGAGGAUGCAGUGAACUGUGAUCGCACCACUGCACUCCAGCCUGGGCAAGAGUGCAAGAUCUUCUUGUCUCUUAAAAAGAAAAAGAAAAAGAAAAAGUAAUGGAAUAAAAAUACAUUCGUAAUAGCCCAUCAAAAGCUAUAAAAUACCUAGGAAAACCUAAGAAGAAAUACGCAAGUCCUGUGUAAUCUAUAAAAUUCUGCUGAGGGACGUAAAAGAAGACUGAAAUAAAUAGGCCACAUUUCUGGAUGGGAAGCUUUAAUAUAAUAAAAAGGUAUAUUCUCCUCACAUAAACUCAUAUAUCUAAAACAAUCUUGAUAAAAACUUCACCAAAAUUUUUAUAGAAUUGAUAAGAUUAUUCUGAAGUUCACCUAGAAGAGAAACUGAAUAAAAAUAGCUGAGAAGAUGUUGUGAGCAUAACAUAUCAUGAAGUUGUGCUAAUAGUAUGUAGGAAUAUAUAAAUCAGUGAAGGAAAAUAAACUGCUUAGACGCAAAUCAAAGUACGUAUGGGAGGUAGUUUAUAAUAAAGAUGACGUGCAAGUCAGGAGAGAAGUAUGGAUUAUUCAAUGAUGGUUUUGGGGAAACUAGACAGGUAUAUAGAGAAAAAAACAGUUAAAUCUCUACCUCAUACGAUACUCUAAAAUUUAAAUUCCAAAUAGAUUAAUAUCCUAAUACUAAAAAAAAGUUUAAAGUAGAAAAGAAAAACAUCAGGAGAUAUUUUAAUAAGUUAGAGUGAGGCUGGCCUUCUUAAGCAAGACACAAAACCCAGAAAUCUUAAAAGAUUGACAAAUCUGAUACUUAAAAGUUUCAUAUUUAUGCAUGGCAAAAGAUACCAUAAACAAACUUUAAAACCAAAUGUCAGACUGGAAGAAAAUAUUUGUAACAUAUAUUUUAAAGGUUUAAUAUUUGUCAUGUAUAAAUAUUUCUAUAAAUAAGAAAAAGAUAGCCAAUAGAAAAAUAAGAAAAGACUGUGAGUGGGCGAUUCAUAACAGAUAAAAUAUAAGUAAAGGGGCUGAUAAGCUUACGAAAAUAUACUCUACCUCACAGGGAAAUGUCAGGGAAAUAAUACUCAUCUUUCACUCCUCAGAUUAGCAGAAAUUAAAAAUAUUGAAUAUUUCAGAGUGAGUUAUGUCAGCAAAACAGCAUAUAUCUGCCUCUUUCUAUAGGGCAAAGGAUGGCAAGAAAGGGGUAGAUUUAUCUUUCUCCACUCCAAUCAAAAUAAUCCUGGAAUAAUCACCUCACCAUCAUCUUUCCUGGUGAAGCCUUUCAAGGCCAAUUCAAAUGCUGUCUUCUCCAGAAGCGCCACUUUUACUCUGGAAUUACCUUUCCUUCUACCAUCCCUUCACAAGAGUAUCAUGCCACUAUUACAUUGUUCCUCUGUCUCUAUCUAUAUCCAACAUGCCCCUAUCAUAGCACAUAAUGACAUGUAUUAACAUCUACCUUAAAGGACUUUAUUUUUGCCUGAUUAAAGACUGAAAGCUCUUAAAGUCUUUAUUUUUUUCUUCCCUGGAUCCUUGGCACUUGGCACAGUCAGUGUCUUACACAGGGGAGAAGUUUUUAAAACAUUUGCUGACUAACUCGGCAUACUGAAGAUUCCCAGGAUAAAAGGACAAAGUUCCUGUCCUUGAAGUACUCAUAGCCAAGUAAGGGAGAUAAAGCUCUGAAUGGACAAUCAGAAUGCAAAGAUACUGCUACGAGAUGAGACUGCUAAGAGAGGGGUGUACAGGAUACCGUGUGGUCAUCAGGGUGGAAGAGAAUGAAUCAGCCCCCAUGAUUCUCUGUGAGGUCUUAACAAAGUGUUAUACUCUGGCCAUACUGAUCUCCUUCUAGCUCUAAACCCACCCCACCCUGACCCUUCCAGGCCAUUUCCUACUCCUGGCUUUACUCAUGCUGUCUUCACUGCUUGGACUGUUCUUGAUCCUCCCUCACUUGGCUGACCCAGCUCAAAUAUCACUUCUGUUAGGAAACCUCCUCUUCCCUCUUCCCCCUCCCCCAGCCCAAGUUAAGUGUUUCCUCAGCACUGUCUCUGAAGUCAGUGCAUGCAGCUUAACCUUAGGACCUACCAGGUCGUAAUGAACUUAUCUGUGUUAUGUGGGUCUCUCUAACAAGACUAUAAACUUUUGUAGGACAGAACCAUGUCUUAUUCAUCUUUAACUGCCUUUCCUCCCCUUAUCAGAGUUUGGCACAUAGUAGCUGCUUAAUAAAUACUUGUUGAAAACCAAACAGAAAGAAAACAAGACAGUAUGACCUAUUAAAGGAAUGUGACUGGGGGCCACACUCACCUAUGGGCACGAUGAUCCCGAUAACAGCGGCAGUGACUGUUGAGCCCAUCUUACUGUCUUCAUUUGCAUCUGCAAAACACAAACAUUUGCAGAAUGAUGCUCUAUCACUGUGUGUCCAAGCCCCUACUGGCCUCAAGUGAUCCUCCUGACAGCUCCCUGUGGUGUGAAAAGGAGCUAUCAUCUACACUUGCUGCAGGUGAGAUGACUGUCCCGGCAAUGGCCCAAGGCCCAUCCUCUCUCAAUGUGACUGUUUAUCCAUGUUACUCCAAGAGAAUCUAACAGUUAAGGGGAGAAAAAGCUGCACUGCUUGCUUCCAGAGCUAACUGUGUCCUCCCUGCUGUCCUCCCUGCUCUGGGCCACAGCGAACACUGGACAGUGAUAUUAAAACCUAGAGCAUGAGGAAGCCAGUGAGGAGAAGCUGGUGAGAGGCUCUGCCCUCAGAUGAGAGGAACUGGAAUUCACACAUGCUCCAUCUGCCUCUGCAAACUUCGGAUGACUCAGUGUCUACCCAGCGCCUGGUCAUCGGCAUUCCUGCCAAGUGGAUCUCAGGACAAAGAAAGGACAUGACUGCCUGAAGAGGGCCCAGACAUGCAGUGGGGCAGGUGCUGGCAUCUGAGAAAGUCCUAGGAGAGAACCUCCUCCAGUGUGUGAAGAGCUUCCCAAGCACCAGGUCCACUGACUGUGGCGUCAAAGACAGUGAAAAGCUGGCCUUGGGGUGAUGCCAUCCAGGAAGGCAUGCCAGAUCAGAUGCCCAGCAACUAUCAUCUUCUCUGCUUGGGCCCUACUGCUGUGGUUCAAGAAGGAACUACCUGAGCAACUGACACUUCUGCCAGCCACCAGUCCCUGUCACUGUGCAUCUUUGCCAAGCUAAUGUGCUCCCUGGAGGAUGGGACCAGCACAGAGUCAGGUAGGGCCUGGGGCUGGGUGUGUGACCUGUGUGUAGUGAUGGAGACUAAUUCAAAGCAGGGUGGGAGUGAGACAGAAGUGUGGUACAAAUAGCAUGGAGAAUGGGCUCAAGGUGCAGGAAGGGGCAAGGAUGAAAGCUGAGUUACAGGCCAGCUCUGCCACUGACAAGCUGUGAUUUCCCUCACCCCAAAAUGACAGUAAUGACACUUCACCUCCCUGAAGGCAGGAGCCAGGUUAAAGGGGCAUGUUGGAGUGAUCUUAAAUGACAGCUGUGACUGUGACAGGAACCCCCUGUGUUUAUGAUUUGAGAUUUUAUGUAACUGCACUUGAAAUAUUCAUGUGUGUGGAUUUUGUAUAUGCAUGGGUAGUUGCAUGUUGUCUCCAGUGCAUGUACAUAAUCUGUGUCAUGUAUUACAUGUGUUCUAUAUGGGGGCAAGAACAGGUUACACGUUAUAUGUGAUAUACUAAUGUAUGAGUUACAUAUUGUACAGUUUGGGUGUUACAGUUUUUGGGUUUAUGGGCUACAUGUCAGUAUUAUGGCUGCUGUAUUGUUAUAAUUUAUCUGUUGUAUAUUGUAUUUAACUUGCAUAUGAACUCCAGACUCAUAUAUCCAGCUGCCUUCUCAAUAUCUCUACUUGGAUACCUAACCAGUUUUCUUAAACAUAACAUGUCCAAAACAGCCUAAGAUUCCUCCAAACCUGCUUCCCUCACCAUCUUUCCCAAGCCCAUACGUAGCAAUCUUAUUUUUUCAGUUGCUGUAACUUUUUUUUCCACAUUCCACAUUCAAUUCAUAAGCAAAUCCUGUUGGCUGGCCUUUGCACUAUAUCUGCAGUCUGUCCACUUUUCAUUAUUCCCACAGUAAUAAUGUGGGAAUAAGGGUUCAGCCACCAUCACCUCGCUUCUGGAUUAUUGCAAUGACCUCUUAAGUGGUUUCCCUGCCUUCUCCCUUGUCCUCUACAGUCUGUUCUCAAUACUGCAGUCAGAAUAAAAUGUCACACCAUGUCCCUUCCCUACUCAGAGCCCUCAAUGGUUUCCCCCCAGUUAGAGUGAAAUCCAGAGCUGGCUCUUACAAUGGUCUAGAAGGCCCUUUGGGCUGCCCCAAGCCACCUCUCUGGCUUCAUCUCUUCCUAGUUUCCUUGCUCCAACUGUACCAGCUUCCUUGCUAUUCCUUGAACAUACUAGGCAUGCUCCUGCAUUAGGGCUUUUGCGGUUUCUGUCUCUUCAGCCUGAAAUGCUUGUUCCUAUAGAUAAUUGCAUGGUAGCUUACUGUCUCACCUCCCUCACUCCCUUUUUAUUUAUUAUUAUUAUUAUUUUUUUUUUUAGAAAAGGUCUCACUCUGUCACCCAGGCUGGAGUGCAGUGGCAUCAUAACUCACUGUGACCUCAAACUCCCAGGCUCAAGGGAUCUUCCUGCCUCAGUCUCCUGAGUAGCUUGGGACUAUAGGUGCAUGGUACUAUACCUGGCUAGUUUUUAAAUUUUUUUUUAGAUAUAGGGUCUUACUACAUUGCCCAGACUAGUCUUGAACUCCUGGCCUCAAGUGAUCUUCCUGCCUAGGCCUCCCAAAGUGUUGGGAUUACAAGCGUGAGCCACCACACCCACCCCCCUUCACCUUCUUUACUCAAAUACCUUCUCAGUGAGGGCUUCCCUGACCAUUCCAUUUAAAACUAGAACCCCCUGCUCACCUGGACUUCCCUAUUCCCAUUCUCUACUUUCUAUUUUUCCUUAGCCCUUAUCGCCAUCUGCCAUGCACUAUAUUUUAUGUAUUUAUCUGAUUUCUAGCCUGGCUCACCCAUUAGAAUAUGAGUCCCUUGAGGGCAGACAGGGAUUUGCAUCUGUUUUGCUUACUGCUGAAUCCCCAGUGUCUACUACAAUGUUAGGUGUUCAAUAUAAACAACUGAAUACAAUGAAUUAAUUCUGCUGGCUGAAUUGAUCAAUGUGUAGGUCUGCCCAGGUCGUGCUCUUUGUGUGGACUCCAUAUGCUGUGUGUGUAGUCUCUGUGUGGUUCAUAUUCUGUUGUAUGAGUGUCAUCUCUGUGGGCUAUAUUGGGUGGCUCUAUACAGUGUCUGUGUGGGUGUUAGUGUGCAGUGCGUUGUGUGUGUGAUGUGUAUGUACACUUUUGAGCACUGUGUGUGCAACUGCUAGAGUAGGCAGACAGCUGGACAUGAGCAGAAGGGGGAGUCCCUGAGAAAAGGGAAGUCUAGAAAAUCUCACACCUAGAGACCACCCAAAACAUUCAUGCUAGAUAUGAGCAGAGAGGAGGGGAAAUGCCUCUGCAGAAAGGAAUGCCCCUUAAGAUGCCCAGAAACUGCUCACUCUGCAGUUCUCCCAUCAGAAUGUAGCUAGCUGCAUGUUGAGGAGGAGGGGAAGGGCAAAGGGGAAAUCCCUAAGAAAUAUGCAGGCCCAAUCAGAUUUGACUGCUAUACAACCUUCCUAGGGUGGUGGUAACGAGUGAUGGCACCAUUAGGUAGUAUUUGUGCCCAGAGCUGGGCAUGCACACAAGCUAAUAGUAAGGGGAGGUCCCACAAGCCUGGGUGGGAACUAGGUGAGGAACAGGCAGGGACUUAAAGCAGGAAUGGGAAAACUAGACAAAGAAAAUGGCAGAGAUUUAGGACAGAGACAGGAACUUCAAGAAAAAAACCCAAUGCAGAACUCUUAGGGCUGCCGCUGGUUCAUUCUCUUUUAGCAGGCUGCCCCCACUCUGCGUCACCUUUCAGAGUGCACUGUCCCUUUAAAGAAACACAGCUAUUGCUGCUGCUCCCAGCUGGGUCAGCCUGCUCCUGUCUUAGAUUGUACUCUUAUCUCCUUAAUAAACCUUCGGCUUAUGUUA